rnacentral:sRNA from 1 species
UUCUUCAACUUCUUCUUCUCCUUUUUCCUCU